GACGAACGCUGGCGGCGUGCUUAACACAUGCAAGUCGAACGAAGAGCGAUGGAAGCUUGCUUCUAUCAAUCUUAGUGGCGAACGGGUGAGUAACGCGUAAUCAACCUGCCCUUCAGAGGGGGACAACAGUUGGAAACGACUGCUAAUACCGCAUACGAUCUAAUCUCGGCAUCGAGGACAGAUGAAAGGUGGCCUCUAUUUAUAAGCUAUCACUGAAGGAGGGGAUUGCGUCUGAUUAGCUAGUUGGAGGGGUAACGGCCCACCAAGGCGAUGAUCAGUAGCCGGACGGAGAGGAUGAACGGCCACAUUGGGACUGAGACACGGCCCAGACUCCUACGGGAGGCAGCAGUGGGGAAUCUUCCGCAAUGGACGAAAGUCUGACGGAGCAACGCCGCGGGAAUGAUGACGGCCUUCGGGUUGUAAAGCUCUGUUAAUCGGGACGAAAGGCCUUCUUGCGAACAGUUAGAAGGAUUGACGGUACCGGAAUAGAAAGCCACGGCUAACUACGUG
rnacentral:rRNA from 1 species